GGGGGGUUUGUUAAGCACAUGCAGGAGAACGAAUUCCUUCAUGAUGUCUUCGGGUUCACUCCGAAGAAAAAGUUUCUCUUGGACAGCGAACAUCGAAUAUCAACCACAGAAAAAAGGAUGUUCAAGUCACCAAAUUCAAUUGCCAAUAAGGCAAGGACUCAGCACUUGAACAAGCAGCGAAUGUUAGCUGAGGGGAGAAACAUUGGACACUAUGCUGUAAACGUGGGGGAGUGAGUGAUGUAGAAUUUACUUAAUUGU
rnacentral:misc_RNA from 1 species